UAUGACCUGGGCUACACACGUGCUACAAUGGGAAGUACAACGAGUCGCGAAGUCGCGAGGCUAAGCUAAUCUCUUAAAGCUUCUCUCAGUUCGGAUUGCAGGCUGCAACUCGCCUGCAUGAAGCCGGAAUCGCUAGUAAUCGCGGAUCAGCACGCCGCGGUGAAUACGUUCCCGGGCCUUGUACACACCGCCCGUCACACCACGAGAGUUUGUAACACCCGAAGUCGGUGAGGUAACCUUUU
rnacentral:rRNA from 2 species